GCUGUGAAUAGAGUUUCUGCAGUUGCUGCGAUAUUGAUUGUGACGCUCCUUGCAUUAGCUUGCGUGGUCAGCUGUGACGAUGACUCCUACAUACUCGUCGACGAGGCUAAAGGAACGUUUGCCUGUAAGGUGAAGCAGAGUGACGCUGGUUACUCGCUGCUGCCUCUUAAGAAACUCUGCGAUGGCAGCAAGGACUGUCUCAAUGGCGUUGACGAGAAGGAGGGAUGCAAGAGGAAGGAGAAGCUCAAGUACAAAAAGACACCAAACAAGAAUGAGUUGUAGCCAUAGUUUUGAUGAAAGGAAGAGCGGAAGAAAGGAAGAGCGUGAAAUACUCAGGAGUGCACCGUUGAUAUUGGGCGAGUGAUCACCAGAAGAAAGGUCGUGAUAUGAGUCCACCGGUACAACGUCCCUCAAUACAUCACCGAGAUCUGAGGAACUGUCAGAUGUGUUAGUUAAUCAUGCUAAUUAAGCAGCGUACGUAAUCGUCAGCAUUCGUUUUUCAUGAUCAGUUUGGUGUAACUGCCAAUAUGCCAUGAAACCCUUUGUUUAAUUCUGGUGUAUAUGUAUGUGACGAACCAUGUAUAUUUGUACGUGACGUACAUUGUACAAUUUUAUGUGGCAAAGUAACUCUGUAUAUUUGUAUGUGGUGUACAUUGUAUAAUUUUAUGUCACGUAGUAGUACAUUGUAUAUUUCUACGCAGCGUACAUUGUGUAAUUUUAUGUGGCGAAGUAACCUAGCUUGUAUGUUUGUAUGUGGUGAAUUUUGUACAUUUGUAUGCAGUACAAUAUAAAACAGCAGCUGUUUUCUCUA